UCGGUGACUCACUUCCAGCUGAACAAUGCCACAUCUCAGCCCUGCGCCGGGGGAGGGGCACGCCUGUCAACAGCCAGGGCCCGGCUGAAGGACGGUCCGGUCCGGAAGGGGGGACCCCAUCCAGAGAGCCUUGCCCUCCCCGCCCCCCCCAUCUGCCCGUGGGGGUAUGAACUCAGGCAGGCCAGGGAUUGAAUCUGCCCCUCAGCAGUGACCUGACCACAGCAGUGACAACGCUGGAUCCUUUAACCACUGAACCAGUCACCAGGGAACUCCCACGUUAUGGGAUCCCCCGGUGUGGUUCCCCAGUGCCAGUGUUGUCUGAUUCCAGGUGAGUCAGUUCACCAUAGACCUUCCUGAAGCCUAUUGGAGAGGCAUUUUGCUAAUGCUGGGAGCAGGAAGAUGAGACAGGCAGCCACAGACUCUGCAGAUCAGGGAGCAAAUGGUCUCUCACCCUGCAGAGACAACCUUUAUACUUUUCAUGGAUCUCCAGCAUGUAUUUGGAGCAUCUCCUACCUUGUUGGUCUGCCAGGGAGGUGGAGCCCUCUUCCUACCCUAAAAACCAGACCUCACUUUCCCAGCCUCCUUUGCGGCUGCAGUGCAGUCAUGUGACCUGCUCAGCCAAUCAGAUGCAGCCACUCGGUAACUCUGCUUCUGAAGCAGGUGAUACAAAUGAGCAGAGAUGGGAUGUAUCUGACAGAGUGGUCCGGCGGCAGCAGAAGGAGGAAUUUUCAGGGAUAGUGGAGCCUGAGGUGUAAUUUGGGCUGGGGUUCUGGCUGCAGUCUGGUGCUCCUUGGUUCCUGAGCCAGCCUGAGGAGUCUGAGCAUUCUGUCACUUGCGACCAAGCAGUGUUAAUACAGAGAAGUCACCACUGUGGGAAUGGAGAGGAGCUGGAUCCUGAAGUGGACGUGUCUGGACUUGGUGAGUAGUGCUUCUGUGGGGUGGGCAGCUGCGAAGGAAUCUAGUUUCCUUAUCUGGAAUCUGGAUGGGAUAUCCUGCCUAGGUGCUAGGCGGUGUAUCCCAGACAGGAAGUGAGGAGUAGGAGGGAUGUGAGAGAAGAGAUCCUGGAGCUUGAGGAUGAGGCGGGAAGGAGGGAGAUGAACUCAAGGCAGCUGGGGGCUGGGGGGAGAAAGAGCGCUUUGUAACACGAACCAAUCUGGGUGAUGUGGUUCCAUCUGCCUCAAAUAUUGCUUGACGCUUUGUUAUACACCAGGCAGUGUACUGGUUAAUAAAACAGUUUGGGGAUGGGUAUUGUUAUCCUCAUCUUACAUGUAAAGAAAGGGUGAUACAGAGAAGUGAAACAGCUUGUACAAAAUCAGAAAAUCAGAGACCAAAAUUCAAACCUGGGUCUAACUGCUAUGCUGAUGCUCUUAAGAACCUAAACAGAUGCUCAGAUGAGGGAACAAAGUCUCUGCCUCAGUCCCUGAGUUUUUACAUAUUUCCAAUGAGUCCUUUAAGUAAAAUAUUCUCCCUGCAAGUACUUUGUGAGGCAAUGCAGUUGAGUAAUAGAAUCUGGGGGCCUGGUUCACUUUGUAAAUACCAAUUCUUUCAUCCUCUUCCCCUACCGGGGUCCAGUCAAAUGAGCACUAAUACAGACAGUUGGUUACCCACCCCGUGGCCCUUCCACUCCCCUUCUCUCAGCACCCACCGAGGUUGCUUUUAAGUGUUCAUGCUUAUCCUUCUGGGACCAGGGUUAGUACUGUGGCAUUAAUAGUGACAUUACCCCCCUUGCUUGGGAUAGAUUCAAGCAUGUGAUGCGACUCAAUUCUGGCCAAUGAGCAGUGAAGAAUAGAUUCCUAUUCGUUUAUAGGGGGCUUCUGAGAAAAACUUUCCUUGAUCUUAAAAUGGGACACAAUGAUGAGAUGUUUUCUGGGGUUUUAUUUAUUUAUUUAUUUAUUUAUUUAUUUGCUGCUGUGCGCAUUGUGUGGUGAUGUGAUGUCUGGGGUGGGCGCAACCAUCUUGCAACUGUGAGGCAAGCUAGCCAAGGACGAGGCGACGUGCUGAGAAUGGCAGAAGGGAAGGAAAAGAGGAAGUCUGGGUCACUCAUGAUGAUGCUGAGCUGCAGGAUUAACCUCUUCUGAAGCUAUUGUUCCUCUGGACUUCUUGUUCUCUGAGAUAAGACACUUUCCUUAUUGUCUAAGCCACCUGAAAGAAGUUCUCUGUUUCUGGCCACUGAAAAGACCUUUACCGAUGUAUGAGCCACGGGUUCAAAAGAAUGUACACCCAAUGUGCUAAUGUGAUAUGCCGACAGUUGGAACAACAGCAUUGGUUAAAGGGGAAAACCGGAUUCCUUGACCAAGGGAGGCACUGAAAAGUCCUUUCUCUGCUGGUUCAGUGGGGAGAGAGUGUGGCAGUCUGAGGCCCUGCACUCUGCAUCUCGUCCACGCAUGUGGGAGGCCUCCUAUCAGAGGAGAGGUCUGCUCCUGGCCAGCCGAACUUCUGACUCCCAUUUCCUGUAGGGUCAGCAGAGGAAAGCAGCUUUAUUUACUGAGUCAGGAUGGAAAACAGAUGUCUAAGCACCCCGCUGGGCCCGGGCUCACCCUGGACAGAGGCCGGGCCUGUUCUCAGCCCUGACCCGCCCACCAACCUCUUGUUCCCCAUAUCGAGUCCAGAUGUGGCUUCUUCCAAGCUCUAAUAAUAAUUUUGAUUUGUUGCAGCUAAAUAAACUACACCCCUCCCAGC
rnacentral:lncRNA from 1 species